AUUAAUAAUUCAAAGCAAAAAAGGCUUAUUACAUCUGAAUUGUCAAAAAAUGACAGCUGUCAGAAUUCCGUCGAAUUAAAAAUCGGACUAUAGUGUAAAUUAUAGUUUAUUUAUUAAUUAUGUUAUGUCUAAAAGGGCCAGUCACUUUAUGCUUUAUUUUAGGAGAAAUUAUAAUUUUUAAUUUUUUCAUACUACAUUACUCCUAACUAUAUGACUUUUAAUAAAGUAUAAAACUUAUAACCUUAACAUUUAUAGAUAAGUUAAAUACUUCAUAUAGUUGUUUUGUUAUUAUCGCUAUAUAAAAAAUGUCAUUCCCUAACUAGUAACUUAGUCCCUAGCGCCGUUUAAAGCUAGAGCCUGACGGUCUAGGGACUGACGAUUUGGAGUAAAACUUAACACAAAUGCAGAUUAACUUUAUAAUAUAAGAUGCUUAAUACGAUGUGCCGAAAAUAGCCGAAAAACCACACGUAAAUACCAUUAAAUUAUAUACAAUUUCCUAUUGUAAUCAAUAAAGGUACUCAACUAGGGACUGACGAAGUGACUGGAUCAACACAUGUUUCCGCAACAACUGGCACGUUUGCACUAAUUCAAAAAACGGCUGCCGCAAAGCCAGUAUGGUCUGAGUAUAACUUCGUAUCGUACUUUAAACUCAACUAAAUGUCAUUCACUCUAAAUACAUAUAAAAGCGCAAAUAUAUAAAAUCAGUGCGUGGCGAGGGAAUGACGCUAAAAACUGUGGACUCUUUUUUAACUAAAGAAAAUCAAAUUAUUGUUUAUUGAAACUGCAAAAUAUUAAUAGAAUUUGGUGUUAUUCGUUACUUAAAACAAAGGAUGAAGUUGAUGUUUCUGUUAAUAUGGGUUCCAAAAUACAAACUUUUGGAGUACGGACAUGCCUAGGGAAUGACGAUUUGGGUCAUUUAAAAGGAAUUUAAGAUGUUUGAAAAAUAGUUUAAAAAAAUAUAAAUAGGUGAUGAAUAAAACACAUUGCGAGCUGUUAUUUAACCAUUUUGGAAUAAAAUAUUAACAAAUAUUCCAUGUGAAAUGUGGCGCGGACUAAGAGUUGACAUAUUUUUGUGGAAUGACCCAAAAAUAAGUUGUACCUACCAUUCGUAGUUUUGUGUAGGUACCUUGGUAAAUGGGAAAAUAUUCGGUGACUGGUAUUUUAUUUUAACUUCAGUGACAGUGUUUAAACCGUCUGCUAAAAAUAUAUAAAAACUGAUGCAAUAAAGGUGCUUUACAUUAUAUCGAUAAAAUAAAUUCAUUUUUUUAAAUGGCUGUGAUAAAAGCAUAACUUAAUGUGAUCAAGGUUAUCCGGAUAAUAAUAUUAAUAAGCUACUUAUUGAGCUCGAUUUCUAAAUUGUUAAUUAUGUAUGUUAGUAAUAUAGGAAACGUCUACUACUUAGAUCGGGAAUGAAAAGAAAAUAAAUUGAUUUUAUUUAAAAUUUUGUCAUUAAUUAACAAUUUUGAAUCGGAACCAAUUUCAAAGCUUUUGAUCAGCUCGGUUUACUACUUUUAUGUAUAUUAUCAUUGCCCAUGUAAUUGAGAGAAAUAAAUAAAUGGACACAG